GACGAACGCUGGCGGCGUGCUUAACACAUGCAAGUCGAGCGGAAAGGCCACUUCGGUGGUACUCGAGCGGCGAACGGGUGAGUAACACGUGAGUAAUCUGCCCUUGGCUUCGGGAUAGCCACCGGAAACGGUGAUUAAUACCGGAUAUGACCAUCUCGUGCAUGCGUGGUGGUGGAAAGUUUUUCGGCCAGGGAUGUGCUCGCGGCCUAUCAGCUUGAUGGUGAGGUAAUGGCUCACCAUGGCUUCGACGGGUAGCCGGCCUGAGAGGGUGACCGGUCACACUGGGACUGAGACACGGCCCAGACUCCUACGGGAGGCAGCAGUGGGGAAUAUUGGACAAUGGGCGGAAGCCUGAUCCAGCAACGCCGCGUGAGGGAUGACGGCCCUCGGGUUGUAAACCUCUUUCAGUACCGACGAAGCGCAAGUGACGGUAGGUACAGAAGAAGCACCGGCCAACUACGUGCCAGCCGCCGCCGUAACAC
rnacentral:rRNA from 1 species